AAAAAAGCAGAGGAUGAUGAUGAAAAGAGAGAAGAAAGGCGAUCACCUUCAGUAGGUUCCCGGCAGUCUGGUGGAAGCUAUUUGGAUGCUGAGUGUUCACGGCAUAGAAGGGAUCGGAGUCGGAGCCCACAUAAACGAACAAGAAAUAAAGAUAAAGAUAAAAAUUGGGACUCAAGAAGGAGGAAAGAGAGGUGAUUCGGGAUGUGAUAAAUGUGCACAUGGAAGAACUCAGUAAUAAUUGGCAAGAAGAGCAGGAAAAAGCAGAGGAUGAUGCUGAAAAGAGAGAAGAAAGGCGAUCAGCUUCAGUAGGUUCCCGGCAGUCUGGUGGAAGCUAUUUGGAUGCUGAGUGUUCACGGCAUGGAAGGGAUCGGAGUCGGAGCCCACAUAAACGAAAAAGAAAUAAAGAUAAAGACAAAAAUUGGGACUCAAGGAGGAGGAAAGAGAGAGAUGGGGAAAUAUAUCAUAGUCCUAAAAGAAGAAAGCAAAAAGUAUAAAUGAAGUAUUCAUGCAUGUGUUAAUUAUGCUGAUGCCAAGAUAACCAAUGUGCUGAUGUUUUCAUUGUAAUUGCUUUGAAUAGGGGAAAAUGUUUAUAUGACCUGUUUAGUGCUCAGGUCACUAUUUUUCAGUAAGUGCUUAUGUCUCAAACCAUGAGUACACUGUUAUGCCCUAUAACUUUGUUUUCCAUAUAUUUUAAUAGAUGACUGCUUCUUGUUACUAAUUUUGUUUUUUUUUCUUUUUUGAUAAUUUAUGUAUCAUAAAAUUCUUCAAAUCAGUACUUAAAUUAUAUAAAUAAUACAUGAAUGCAUUCCCAUGUAAAAUGUUGAACCUUACAGAAUACCAUCUCCCAUUCCUAUGGCCACCCAGUGGUAACUGCUAUUUACCACUACACUGGUGAGCUGUAAUAGAGAAAAGCAACCUAAAUAUCUGUCAGGAGGGGAAAGGUCUGGCUAAAUAAAAUGCACUAUAGUCAUAUAAUAGAUUAUUUAUAUCAGAUUUUAAAAAUAAACUUUAUUUAUAUGAAUAUGGAUACAUUUCAGAAACAUAAUGUUAAGUGACAACAGCAAAUUGCUGUAAGAUAUAUACAGUACUGUACAUUUUCAGUGGCGAUAUAUGUAUGUAAAUAUAUUUUUAAAGGUUCAGAAGAACCCAUAUCACACUGCCAGCAGUGAUGAUUUGGGGGAGACAGUAUUAAUGGGAGAGAUAAUGGGUGGCAGUGAAGAUUGGGAGGGUGUUCAAAGGAAACUUUAGCUUUAUCAUAAUACAUUAAUUUCUUAAAAAUAAGGUAUUCAACCCGGCCAGUGUGGCUCAUGGUUGAGCAUUAUCCCAUGGACCAGGAGGUCAUGGUUUAAUUGCUGGUCAGGGCACAUGCACCAAUAGGGGGUAUGCAAGAGGUAGUCAAUCAAUGUUUUUAUCUCUCCUCCCUUUCUCUCUGUGAAAUCAAUAAAAACAUAUUUUUUAAAAGUGAAAAAAAUAAGGUAUUCAUAUUUUAAUUACAAAUUGUCAUUUCUUUUUUUCUAAAUGAACUCUUAAAAAUAUACUGUCAUUUGUUUUGUUUUUAAAAUGAAAUUUAUUGAGCUACU